CAUAUAUAUGUAUGUAUGCAUGUAUGUAUACUCGUCGUCAUUGGAAUGUUAGCCACGUUUCAAAUUUUUUUCUCUCUCUUUCUUUCUCUCUCUCUAUCUUUUACGAAAAGAUACAAAAUCCUUUUCGCAAAUCCUACUAAGUCUAAGUGACGAAUCCUCGGACGACGAAAGGACGACGACGUAAGAUGCAUUCAAGAUCGGUAGGACUAGGAAGUGGGUAGGUUACGUUCACUCACAAAAUGACAUCAUCUAUCAUGCGGAUCUCGGUAAGUAGAAGGGGUAGAUUUUCAAGUAUGAUACGCUGGUUGCGUACGUUCUCAUAGUUUAUUCUCUUACACCUACUUCUACUGGAAUGUAGGUGGCUGUCGUCUAAGAUGACGUCUACAUUUACGACGACGACGACGACGACGACGAUGACGAUAAGGACGAAGAGGACGACGUCUACGUCGUCGACUUAACUAGCUAGCUAUCUAGCUAGCUAACUUACAAAGGUUCAUUGAACCACUUCUCGAAUAUCCACUCUUCCUCUCCGAGAAGGAAAGACCGCUUCAAGUUGGUUCACGCACCCCUAUGCUCCUUCAAGAAAUAUACGUUGUAACAGAAGAGGUAAAAGAAAGACGUGGUGGAGGCGCGGAACGCAUUGCUAAGAUCAGAGACCUCGAUGAAACCGCAAAUCAUGUUUCUCUUCUUACUGCAGAUAUGUACCUUACCUUACCUACCUUACCUACCUACCUACUUACCAACCUACCUAGCUACCUACCCAUCUAUCUACCUACUGUAUAUACUAUUUUGAAAUGACACGUUUACGGUUAGAAAUAUAUUUAUAUUUGAAAAGAGAGAGAAAGAGAAGAACCAAGAAAAAGAUAAAUAAUUCAUGAAAAUUACUCGCGAUUAAAAUUCCAAGCAAUAUUUUCUAUCCUAAUUCGAUCGAGGAUCCUCCAUCACUUUUUCCAAGUAUCAUUACACGGUUUUCUUUACUGAAUUUCAACAGAUUGAAAUGCAUCGUUAUUAUUUUCUCUUUCUGCUUUUCCUUCUUCUUCUUCUUAUUUUCUAUUGCAAAGAUAAGUCUCUCUCGAAGAAAUGAUUCACAUUGUACGGGGGUAAGGGAAAGAGAUGUCAAAAAGCAGAUGGUUAGCGAAGAGAUAGAGAGAGAGAGAGAGAGAGAGAGAGAGAGAGAGAGAGAGAGAGAGAGAGAGAGAGAGAGAGAGAGAGAGAGAGAGAGAGAGUAAGAGAAGGGAAACAAAAAAGAGGAAACAAAAACGAAGACAAAAAAAAAAUAAAAAACAUAGACAAAACCGUUCAACGACCGGAUGAUUAAUGAUGCGCUGAUUUUGUUUUUCUCGUUGGACGAAGCCACGUCCUUUUGUUCGUCCGUUUCGCAAAAUGGCAGGAGUGCCGUUGGCAGUGAUGGACGACGCGACGGAAUUAAUCUUGGCUCUACGUUAUUCCAAAGGUUCGUUUCAAAGCCGUAUGUGUUUGUACGGGUCUAGGUACAUGCGUAUCUCAUACCUCUCCUUCAACUCUCAUCCUCUUCUUACCCACCACCCCUCCCCCCCGUUCAUAUUUUUUCGUUCUGUCCUUUUUUCCAGCUUUACUUUUUCUUUUUUCUCUCUCUUUUUUCAAUCUAUUUGCGGGUCACCAACACCACCGGCAGAAGUACAAUUUGGUACCGUUGAAACUCUAAAUUAAAUAUCGAUGGAUCCUAUCGGUAGAUCCAAAUGGUUUUCGAUUGAGGGAAAAAAAAAGAAAAAGCUCAGCUUGCGGUCCCCGCAACGAUAGUUUUUCCAUUAGGACUGUUCGAUUCAGUCGGAACGAUGCAUGUUUUUGCAAUUAGAGGAAAUAAUGAAUUAUUAGAAAAAUCUUAAGCGAGAGCUACUUUUGGUUUGUUUCUUAUUUAUAACGUACAAUUUAAAUAAGGAGAGUAUUUUUUUUUUUUUUCUUUUAAUUUCUUUCUUCAUUUUUCUUUAUCUUUUUUGUCUUCUUUUUUUUUUUCAUGUAUGUACUCCUAUCCUAUAUAUCGAACAGUCCGAUGAAUCUCUAAUUUUCAAUGAUCGAUUUCGUAAAAUGAAUCUAAUUAUAAUCGUAACCGACAAGAAACUGCUAUUAAACUCUGUAAUCGGUAUUAAACGUUAAUUAUACGGAAAUAGUUAUUCGGAAGAUUAAUUUCGAGCGCCAUUACGUGAGUGUGAUCGUCGUAAUAAUUAAUUCGCAAAUAACUAACGUUAAUGGCACCUUUCUCUAUCCGUUUAUGGGGACAUUGAAAUAUCUCGAAAUAGAUCCAUGGAAAACAUGAUCGAUAGAUAUCCUGAACGAGCUGGUAAUAUCGUCUAAGGUGUACCGACUGUAAUGUUUGGCGAGAGUGAAAGCGUUCGAUCGAGCGUGAACGCUAUGAGGAAGAGUGCGAAAAGAAGAAGGUGAUAAAAUGAAAGAAAAAUAAAAACGAUCGCGUUGCGCCUAGAGACAUACGUACACACAAAUACGGACAUACAUAUAUACGCAUAUACAGACACACAUAUACGUAGAUAGACGCCAGGAGCAAAAUCUAUUCUUGGACCUCCUCGAAUGCGAGGUCCGAGUCAUUAGGAAAUUGGCUGACUAAUAAUAUCGCUCUUGCUAGCAAACUAUACAGGAUGAAAGAUAUCUUAAGUCGUUUCGAGUUCGCCAAUUUACGUUUUAAUCAAUAACACCAAUGUAUUAUCGCAAAAAGAAGAAGAAAGGAAUAAAAUGAAAUAAAGUAAAAUAAAUGAAAAAGAAAAUUCAUUUUCAUACACUUUGUAUAUUAAAAGAAUUUUGUCGAUACAUCUUUGCCAGUCAUCCGACUGUGCUGACUCGUAAGGAAUUAGAUGACUCACCCUAUAUAAAGAAGCUCCUGAAUGCUCUUUUUCUCUUUUAUUUAAGUUCUUUUCUUUUCUUUUCCUUUUUUGUCCUUUCUUUCUUUCUUUCUUUCUAAACGGGAGGGUAGACGAAUACGAAACCGGACAUCUCGCACACCCCUUUUUCUCGCUUCGAGUUAUUCCACCCUGACGCACACCACGAAACCGACCCGAAAAGAGAGGGAACAAGAUGCAGGAGAUAGAAAUGGUGGUAGUAGAAAUGUUGGUGGUGGUGGAGAAAGAGGAGGAAGAGAAGGAGGAGGAUACUCAAAAAGGUCUACGAACUCUCUCGCCGUUUUCAUCUUCCCGCUCUCUCCCGUCGAGAAAACGUGACGGAUUAAAAUACCGUCAUUUCAUCAUAUCUAAAAGAGAAUAAGAGACGAAUAGAGCAAACGUUUAUGGAGACGUCGCUCAAGAAGAAACCACGCGUGGUUAGAAGGACAAUGAAACAAACGUAAUGAAGAGGAAAAGACACCGUACGAGAAACUUCGAAAUGGAGUCGACCACCAACCCAACCAAUCCCACCAACCAACAACCGGCCCCGGUUCAUGUCAGUGAAAGUAAUUUCCACAGAACGAUUUCAUUAAACGGAGAUUUAAUUGCGAUUAAUUUCAACGAUAGAGAAGAUCGAAUAACGAAGAGUUAAGUGGAGAAUUAUUAUAAACGUGAUUACACGAGUUUUGCGUCAUAUGAUCCUUUUUUUUCCAUCUCUCUAGCUCUCAACCACCCACCCACCCCCUUUGGCUACGACUAAAUUUGGUUUGUUUGGGCCAUUAUUUACUGUCGUUUUUCUCUCAGACGCAUAAUAAUAAUAAUAAUAAUAAUAAU